CGCAAGCCUGAUGGCAGCCAUGCCGCGUGUAUGAAGAAGGCCUUCGGGUUGUAAAGUACUUUCAGCAGUGAGGAAGGUGGGUAUGUUAAUAGCAUACUCAUUUGACGUUAGCUGCAGAAGAAGCACCGGCUAACUCCGUGCCAGCAGCCGCGGUAAUACGGAGGGUGCGAGCGUUAAUCGGAAUUACUGGGCGUAAAAGCGCAUGCAGGUGGUUUGUUAAGUCAGAUGUGAAAGCCCGGGGCUCAACCUCGGAAUUGCAUUUGAAAACUGGCAAACUAGAGUACUGUAGAGGGGGUAGGAAUUUCAGGUGUAGCGGUGAAAUGCGUAGAGAUCUGAAGGAAUACCGGUGGCGAAGGUGGCCCCCUGGACCAGAUACUGACACUCAGAUGCGAAAGCGUGGGGAGCAAACAGGAUUAGAUACCCUGGUAG
rnacentral:rRNA from 1 species